GAUGAACGCUAGCGGCAGGCUUAAUACAUGCAAGUCGAGGGGUAGCAAGAUUGUAGCAAUACAAUUGUUGACGACCGGCAAACGGGUGCGGAACACGUACACAACCUUCCUACAAGUGGGGAAUAGCCCAGAGAAAUUUGGAUUAAUACCCCGUAACAUAGCGAUGUGGCAUCACAUUGCUAUUAUAGCUCCGGCGCUUGUUGAUGGGUGGGCGGCUGAUUAGAUAGUUGGCGGGGUAACGGCCCACCAAGGCUACGAUCAGUAGCUGAUGUGAGAGCAUGAUCAGCCACACGGGCACUGAGACACGGGCCCGACUCCUACGGGAGGCAGCAGUAAGGAAUAUUGGACAAUGGACGCAAGUCUGAUCCAGCCAUGCCGCGUGAAGGAUUAAGGUCCUCUGGAUUGUAAACUUCUUUUAUAAGGGACGAAAAAAGGUCUUUCUAGAUCGUCUGACGGUACCUUAUGAAUAAGCACCGGCUAACUCCGUGCCAGCCGCCGCCGUAAAAC
rnacentral:rRNA from 1 species